rnacentral:rRNA from 1 species
UACGAAGGGGGCUAGCGUUGCUCGGAAUCACUGGGCGUAAAGGGUGCGUAGGCGGGUCUUUAAGUCAGGGGUGAAAUCCUGGAGCUCAACUCCAGAACUGCCUUUGAUACUGAGGAUCUUGAGUUCGGGAGAGGUGAGUGGAUCUGCGGAGUGUAGAGGUGAAAUUCGUAGAUAUUCGCAAGAACACCAGUGGCGAAGGCGGCUCACUGGCCCGGUACUGACGCUGAGGUGCGAAAGCGUGGGGAGCAAACAGG